AUUGAACCCUGGCGGCAGGCCUAACACAUGCAAGUCGAGCGGAUGAAGGGAGCUUGCUCCUGGAUUCAGCGGCGGACGGGUGAGUAAUGCCUAGGAAUCUGCCUGGUAGUGGGGGAUAACGUCCGGAAACGGGCGCUAAUACCGCAUACGUCCUGAGGGAGAAAGUGGGGGAUCUUCGGACCUCACGCUAUCAGAUGAGCCUAGGUCGGAUUAGCUAGUUGGUGGGGUAAAGGCCUACCAAGGCGACGAUCCGUAACUGGUCUGAGAGGAUGAUCAGUCACACUGGAACUGAGACACGGUCCAGACUCCUACGGGAGGCAGCAGUGGGGAAUAUUGGACAAUGGGCGAAAGCCUGAUCCAGCCAUGCCGCGUGUGUGAAGAAGGUCUUCGGAUUGUAAAGCACUUUAAGUUGGGAGGAAGGGCAGUAAGUUAAUACCUUGCUGUUUUGACGUUACCAACAGAAUAAGCACCGGCUAACUUCGUG
rnacentral:rRNA from 1 species